GAGAGAGGGGUUUGCGAGAAAAAGGGAAGGAAGGCUGUGGAAGAGAAUUGUUUAUAUAGAAAAUGAGGUUCUAAAAAAACACAACUCACCAUUCACAACAACAUCCACUGAAGUGAAAUUAGACCCGGCAACACUGGUAGCAUUACAAACAUAAACCCCGCUGUCAUCCACUUUAACGUUGUCGAUAAUUAAUUCAUCGGAACUGGAUACGAGACUUCCAUUCUAUGGAUGAUAUAUGAUGUUUAUACAUAGAAACACCAAACUCACCUUUGCCCAAGAUAUUGUUGGUGUUGGAUUACCGGCGGCUGAACAAGCUACGGACAACCGGUCACCAGAUG